UGACCUUCACCGGGGGAUGCCGCUACC
rnacentral:sRNA from 1 species